rnacentral:lncRNA from 1 species
AAAAUUCUAACUUUGAAACAUUUCCAGAUUCCAUUUUGACUAUCACUUCUGAACAAGAGUUGCCUCCUUACAGAUUAUGUCAAUAUGGUCCUUCCAGAAUUAUCACUAUACUUCCAACUGUCCUUGAGCAACCAAUCUUUGGUAAACCUUAGAUUGUCCUCGACAAUUGUUUAAUCCUUUUAGUCAUAUCCAGUUCUAAACCUUUUCCCUUCUUAAUGCCCCAGGCAUUUGGAAAAUUUUAGAACGGAUGAAUAUAGCACAUGUAAUCGAUCCUAUAUCCGAAGCAUAUGGGACACGAUUCAUGAUGUCUUACAUAAAGACUAAACCAGUCUUUUGCUAUAAUAUUUCCAUUUCAAUUUGCCAAGUUCUCAUAAUUCAGAUUAUGAAAAGGGAUGCCGUAAUCAUAAUCGAAUUUUAGAACGCAAAUAAUGGACCCAUAUACAGAAUUUCCUUAUGUUGAGCCAUUCCAACAUGAAAUUCAUAUAUAUCCUUGACUAAAUGAUUAAAACCUCACGAUCUAAGCUUAUAGAUUUGAGAUGAAGUAUAAUUUCCUCUCCCUUAAUUAUAGCAAAACAACUUUUUCCCAAUUGAAACUUUUGUUUUCUAUAAUUAACAUUGCUAACUUGCAAUACUUAUCAUAAUUAUCAUGCUCCCACUAACAUGAUGAUUAUUAGCAUAACACUUAUGCUCCCACUAGCUUUGACAUGUACUCAGAAAUCAGCUGGACUUCUAGAAAUCAAUACUUCAUUGACUUUCUUACCAAAGUUCAGAUUUCUGAUGCUAGAUUGUUUUGAUAAAACUUUAUCAAAAUCAUACACCUUCCCUUAGAUAGCACACUUGUGUGUCUAAACAAUUAUGAAGAGGUAUGCCGUAAUCAUAAUGGUUAGACCUUUUUGCCACUUCUCACAAGUCCAGGUUAGUGUGCCGGUAAACCACACACGCUCCACUAACGACUUUGAGAAUGCAAAUAUCACAAUUGCUAUCUAGCUAAAAUCUACUUAGUGAAAGUGUUUCCUCACCAUCAUUUUCAUGAAUCGGAGAGAAACCUUAUGACACUUAGAUUUAAUGGUGUAUGUGUUCUUAUCCAUGUGAAUUGUCAAAACCAUAGUCACAAGACAAGGAUAAUGACAAAUCCAAACUCAUAUGGACUGAACUCAAUCUUAAUUUCUUGCCACCUGGCAGCUCAAGGGCCUGCCAUUGCUUCCAAGUUGUUGUGCAACAAAUUGAGAACUCUAAGAACUCAUAUGCAAAGCCAACUUUAACUGGAAUGGGCACAGAAUAUGUCAACACGAUAGGUUAUGAACCUCAAGUCGUGUGCUAGUGAAGAACUUCAGGUUUUAUUCUUGAUUAGUUCUUGAGACUUUCAAGACCUUUAAGACUCCCACUGUCCUCUUGACAUAUAAGACUCCCUUGUCAAACAUCCAAGAGAUAGUGCGGAUUCUAAUCAAGAAAAACACUUUACCCAAUUGGCCUAAGUUGGUCUUUGUUUUAUCCAAAACAUCACAACUUACCAAUUUCAAAUGUACAAGAGUAGAAAACUUUUACUCUUACAUUUGACAAGUGUUUUAAACCUUCUUUAAGACAUGUCACUCAAAUGACAAUCUUGGAGUAUGACUCUAAGACUUGUAUUGGAACGAAGUAUGACUCAUCUUCUUGAUUUAACCAUUUCAACAAUUCAAGUUCCUCUUCUUAGUCAUAAGAAUGCACUAAGAUUUCCUUAGAGAACUAAUUUUGAUAUGGUUUCUUAAUCAUUAAGAUGAUCACAAAACUGAUACUAAAGUACUCUCCCAUCUUUUCAGAUUUGAGAAACUUUUAUCCUUCUGCCUUAUUUGAUUCUUCUUAUUCGCCCUGCCAUACAUUGGAACCUUUUCCAAUGUCUCAGAGUUACACUUAAGCUUGUAAGUAUAAUCAUAUUUACUGAGCUUUAGUAAACUAUGACGAAUAGUCUUAUCAAUCUUUUGUGGUGGACUUAAUCAGUGCACAAGAAUGUGUACUCGAUCCCUUAGUCCUUUACUUGACUCACACAUCCAUGUGGCCGAGUAAUUAGUCUUAAUUUUCCAAAACUUGAAAGUUCUCAUUCAUCAUGCUAUACAACUUGCAUGAUUCCAAGUUCCGGUCCAAUUGAAACUUGGGUGAUGAGAAUCUUUCCUUAUUUGGUAAAUCUAGACAUUACCACAAAUGAAAGAAUCAAUUUCAUAUUUCCACUCUUGCUCUUAAUGGAAUCAUAUAAGCAACAAUUUUUCCUCAAAAGCCAUUGUAAGGAUAUUUUAAAAUAAAUAAAAUCAAAAAAAUUUUCUUUUAUUUUAAAACUUUGCGGAAAAACUUAUCCUUACAAUCCAUAUGAAAACUUGUUGUUAUCUAUUCCUAAGCAAUAUCUCAUAACUCCUAAGAAGUUGCUCAAGAAUCCGAUCUUCAAACUAUGCGAUAGAAAUCCAUCUACGCCAUCAGAUUCAGCAUAUUCUUUCUUUAAGUUUCUUCACUUUUCUUUGAUUCUUAAAACAUCACCAUGUGACCCAGUCACAUCAUGUAUCAGGAAUCUCAGAAUAGAAACUUAACAGAGUUAGAUAGUGGUCUUUACCUGAAGUAGAGUCAAACUUAUUGACUUUAACAUCCUUAGGUAAAUUUGGCAGCUUCGCAACCAAUGCCCCUUCCCUUGGCAAUAUAAACAUAUGGACCCUUUGAUAAUGGUACACGAGACUAUCACAGACUUAGCUUUUCUCUUUACCAUUUGGUCAACCGAGUUGACUAUGGCCGAUCCCUUUCCAUUGGGAAGAGAAUGCUUUACUGGAUAUCCAAUGUCAUCAUUGUCAAUGUCCAUAAAGUUUUAGGAAGUUGAUCUUAGCAAAUAGAUAAGAUCAUUAAGGGUCUUGUCAUAGUCUGUUUCAUAGGUGUCCCAAAGGAACUCACUAUGUGACUUAGAAAGUGAUUGAACCACCAACUUUCUCAAGACUUUGACACCCAACUCUCCCGGCUUGUCAAUAUGUGACUACAUCUCCAAGAUGUGAUCACACCUAGACCUUGCCUUGCCAAUAGGGCUUGAGUGACCUUAAACUUUUCAAGAACUUGUGGGUUAGGGAGAAUAAUUGGAGGAGGUGAAAGAAGUAUGAUUUCCAAAGGACAUCAUCUUCAUUUAGGAAACCUUGUUUCACUAGAUUUGGGAAGAUCAUAGGUGUCUAUUACAGACAUCUUUUGGGAGAUAUUCAAGAUAGUUGAUUUAAAGUCCUUAAUAUGACACCCAAUAUGAAAUAUUAAGGCUAGGACCCAACAAACUAUUUUAUAACUUAGAAGAGGUAUGCCGUAAUCCAAGCUAUAAAAUAUUUGAAGGUAGGUGAAUGACGAUUCACCAAUUUCCACCAAGAUAAACGAAAUGUAUUAUUAGGUUUUAAUUGGUUUUGAAACUCCUAGAUCUUUGAGAUUCAUUGAACUUUUCAAAGGCAUGUUUCAAUCUCGAGUGUGCCCUUCAGGUUUUGUGACUGGGAUGCCGAGGAUCACAAAACAAGGUGUGAAGUAACCAUGCAAAUCACUUGGUACCCUUAAUAAAUUACCCCUCAAUCGAUGUGCCGGUUAACCACACACGCUCCAUCGAUACUAUGAUAAAUAUUAAGUCACCCUUUACCUACCUUGUUAAGUCCAAGUUAGUGUGCCGGUUAACCACACACGCUCCACUAACGACUUAGACAAAGUGUAAAGUGUAAUUUCAUGGAUUAGCACCUUAUUCACAUUUUUCCUAAGUAACUAAGAUUGGGUAUUAUUAAGAGUUUAGUUACUUAGUAUUAUCAUUAAUACUUUUAAUGAAGGGAGAAUUCUAGUCCUGUCAAACCCGUUCGGCUAACGACCCUCCACCAGUCAAGCAAGCGGUGGGUGAGAGUGGACACCCAUUAAGUUGCCAUUUUAUAGGCAACAACCUUAUACCCACCUUAUAGACCGGCUUCGUGAAUGAGGCGUACUAGCGGUAAGACUGACUUUACUCUUAUACAUAUAUAUAUUAUUAACUUAUAAUAUUAUAAAGUAUAAGGGUUGAAUUUUAACUUUUAAAAUUCUAAGGGCUAACUUGGAAUUAAAGUAUUCAUAAGUGAAAACUUUACAAAUUCCAAAACUUGAGGGCAAGUUUUGAAACUAUUCAAAACUAAUUAAUUCCAUAACUUAUGUGUUUAAAGUAGUUUUAAUCCAAAAACUCUUCAAGUUCCAUAACUUGAGGACAAGUUAUGGAAGACUUUAAACUAAUAAAAGAAUUAACUUUUCUUUAUUUUAUAACUUAUGGAAUUAAUUAAGGUUACACUUUUUUUUUUUUUAUUUUAUUUUAUUAAAUGAAGAGACUCUUGGUCCUCCAUAACUUGAGGACAAGUUAUGGAGUCAUAAAACCAUUUAAUUAGAACUAGACUCUUCAUUUUUGUAACCUUUGCCAAUUUUUAUGAGUUUUAUGAUUCUUAAAUGUGACUUUUCAUAUAACUUGAGGACAAGUUACAAAAACACAUUUUAGAAUCAAUUCUUAGAUUAAUUUGGAUUAAAACCAACUAUCACAUAAUUUUAUUCAUUAAUCUAAAUUCACUCAUAAAACAAGGUAACACAAAAAACUUUUGGUGAUCCAUAACUUAUUCUUAAGUUAUGGAAUCCUUUAAAACAUUAACACCAAAUUUUGUAACUCCAAAAAAACUUUGAAUCAAUUUUUUUUUUAAAACCUUUUCAUAUCCAUAACUUAUGGAGGUUUCAAAAAAUAAAACUCUUUAGAUCAAACUUUUAAAACUAAUAAAAUAAUCAUAUUAUUUUAUCUUUUAUUAAAUUUGACCUAAUUCAACUCAUAAAGCAAAUUAUUCAAAUUUUACAAAUAAUUAGUUUUUCACAAGAACAAGUAAUUAUCUUAAAAUUUGACAAACUUCAUGUUUUUUUUUUUUUUUUUUUUCAACUUUGAAAAUAAAAUAUUUGCAUCAAUAUAACAGAAAACAACCCGUGGCUCUGAUACCACUGUUGGGUUUUGAGCAUUCUAACACUUCCUAAGUGUACAUGCAACCCUAAAUACCUUGGAUCUAUGUUUUCUCUAUUAUACAUGCAAAUAAGAACUUCCAAGGUAUUAUCCUAAUCUAGCAUACAAAACAAUAACUAUAGCAAGAUAGAAUACAUACCUCUUUGGUGUAGAAAGUCUUCAUGAAGCUUGAGUGCCUAGUGCCCCAAGUGUGACACCUCAAAUGGAAUCACAAUCAUCAAAACACUUAGAAUGACUUGAGAGAAUUCUACACUCAUCAAAAUCGGCUAGCCCUUUCUUCACUAUCUCUAGUGGCCGAUUUUUCCUCAAUAAUAAGAUGCUUAUAUAGUUACACAAUUAGGGUAAACUCUUAAUUGUCAUGGCUUUCCAUUUCCUUGGAUCCAUGGGUACAAAUACACCAUGGAGCAUCCAUGGACCAUCCUAUGGGUUUUAGCCCAACUUGAUUAUCCAUGGAGCAUUAGCCCACUAUACAAGUAUGGAUGAUUUACACAAUCAACCCAUAUAUUUAAUUAGUCUUCUUUUGAUCACUUAAUUAAUCCUAGAUUAAUUCUUGAUCAAUACUAAUUAAAUAAUCUUAUUAUUCUUAUUAUUAAUAUACUAGAACUUAUAAUAUAUUAAUAACCAUAAGUGUCUUAUUUCUCUCAUUAUAGUCUAUCCAAGUGCAUGAUGGUAUGCAACCCAAAUGGACCAUGCCGGGUCGGGUCAAGUCUUACCAAUUAUAGUUAUGGACUUAGACAUUAAUCCAACAGUCUCCCACUUGGAUAAGUCUAAAACUAUUAUUGCGUAUGACUUCAGGAACCAACUGGCAAUCGUAGCUCUCAAAAGCUUCUGUCGAACUCUGACCUUGUAGAUGAACUCUGACCUUUGUCAAUGACUUGUCCAUUAGAUAAGGGAUCAUAUAUUCCUCCAUUCUAGAUAUCAUAUGGACUGAGACAUGGAUUAUAAUCAUUCUCUCUGUCCAUUUGUUGUUUCCCGAUUUCCGAUUUAUGACGACUGACUAAUUGAACAAAUCAAAUCAGUCCUGGCCCGGCCGAGCACUUCCAUUUGUCAUCAUCAAAUCAUCGAGGGGCCCACAGAUAUCGCUUUUAUCCCGAAGGUAAAAGGAACGGAUAAACUUCGACUCAUAUGGCUUGUUCUACUACUUGUUGAAUCAUACACAAAGGCACGUUUUAUAGCACCGAGUUACCAAAUGCGUUUUCGUGCAAUCAAUGUACUAUCAACUCAUAGUAACAACUCAUAUCUCUAGGUUUGAAGAAUAUAAGAUAUUAUCGUCUCAUGAUCACUCGUGAUAAAAUCCAUGAAGUGAUUCCAAUGAGCGCGGGUUGAAUCCAAUACUCAGAACUUAUGAGCACUCAUGAGUGUUGUAGCCCUUUGUCCAACACCUUAGACCUCUACAAGCCAACCCAUGACAGUCUUAAUUCAUAUCUACUUCCAACAUAUGACCGACUGUGGAUGGUUUGAAUAACUUAGUCAUUCCGGAAGAAUAACCUAGUUUAUUCGGGAAGUCAAAACAUGCAAAGUGAAACACAAUAAUAAUUGAAUCCAAUAUGGUAUCAACCCUUUGAACAUAAAUAAAACACCUUUUAUUUAUCACCAUAUGAUUACACAUUAUUCAUUGUAUACUGUUUCAGCUAUCAACUUUAUUCUUGAAUUUAAAACAAUAGUUGUCCCAUGCUCCAAGCAUGUACACUAUGUUUUCUUAAACACUAGUCAUGCCACACACCAAGUAUGCAUACUAUGUUUGUCUAUGAUCUUUACUUUGUGAACUAGAUCAAUUGAACAUAACUUCAAUGAUUCUCUUUUCACACUCCCAAAUCCUUACUGCAAAUGCAAGAAUUCCAAAUUCAUGCCAUUUACUGAAAUCUGUUAGAUUCUAAACUUAUAUGCAUUGAUCCUCUCGUAAUGAUUAUGCACAAAGUCAUAAAGACUUGGCAACAAUCAUUACAGAGUAUUCCAAAGGAGAUCAACUCCUUGGAAAUAUCCUUCUUGCAUUAAGUUUCCUUAAUCUUACACAGAUUGAAAAUUCUAACUUUGAAACAUUUCCAGAUUCCAUUUUGACUAUCACUUCUGAACAAGAGUUGCCUCCUUACAGAUUAUGUCAAUAUGGUCCUUCCAGAAUUAUCACUAUACUUCCAACUGUCCUUGAGCAACCAAUCUUUGGUAAACCUUAGAUUGUCCUCGACAAUUGUUUAAUCCUUUUAGUCAUAUCCAGUUCUAAACCUUUUCCCUUCUUAAUGCCCCAGGCAUUUGGAAAAUUUUAGAAAGGAUGAUUAUAGCACAUGUAAUCGAUCCUAUAUCCGAAGCAUAUGGGACACGAUUCAUGAUGUCUCACAUAAAGACUAAACCAGUCUUUUGCUAUAACAUUUCCAUUUCAAUUUGCCAAGUUCUCAUAAUUCAGAUUAUGAAAAGGGAUGCCGUAAUCAUAAUCGAAUUUUAGAACGCAAAUAAUGGACCCAUAUACAGAAUUUCCUUAUGUUGAGCCAUUCCAACAUGAAAUUCAUAUAUAUUUCCUUGACUAAAUGAUUAAAACCUCACGAUCUAAGCUUAUAGAUUUGAGAUGAAGUAUAAUUUCCUCUCCCUUAAUUAUAGCAAAACAACUUUU